rnacentral:rRNA from 1 species
CAAAAACAUAGCUUAGAUGCGUUUAUAUUUAGUGCUCCUGCUCAAUGAUCUAUUUAAUAGCCGCAGUACUCUGACUGUGCAAAGGUAGCAUAAUCAAUUGGCUUAUAAUUGAAGUCUGGAAUGAAAGGAUUCACGGGGAAUUACUUUAUCUAGGAUUUAAAGUGAAAUUGGGUUUCAAGUGCAAAUACUUGUUGUUAAAUGUUAGACGAGAAGACCCUAGAAAUUUGUGCAAACGUUUAGUUGGGGCAACGAAGUAGGAUGUAACCUACAUUUUAGACAAGAAAUUGGUUAGGGAGGAAAAAUUACUCUAGGGAUAACAGCAUAAUUUAUAAAAGUUUGUGACCUCGAUGUUGGAUUUGGGAAUUAUAGUCUAGAAGACACUUAAUACUGCUCUGUUCGAGCG